CCCUUAGAUGUUCUGGGCCGCACACGCGCUACACUGAAGGAGGCAGCGUGUACUCCUGGAUCGAAAGAUUUGGGUAACCCGCGAAUCUCCUUCGUGCUAGGGAUUGAGGUUUGCAAUUAUCCUUCAUGAACGAGGAAUUCCCAGUAAGUGCAAGUCAUAAGCUUGCGCUGACUACGUCCCUGCCCUUUGUACACACCGCCCGUCGCUACUACCGAUUGAAUGAUUUAGUGAGGACUUCGGACUGGUACCGAUGCGGCUUUCGGGCUGCGUCGGUAUUCUGGAAAGAUGUCCAAACUGUAUCAUUUAGAGGAAGUAAAAGUCGUAACA
rnacentral:rRNA from 1 species